rnacentral:misc_RNA from 1 species
AAGUUAACAGAAGAGCUACAAGGUUACAAAUGCAGGAUCCCAAUUCCUAAAAGAAAAGCAAGGCAAUGUUCAUGCAAAUGCUAGCUGAAACUAUAAACAAAACUGCAAAUGUGCAUCAUAAGAUAUUGCAAAACUUUUCUUCCAAACAGUAACUGUUCUAGACAGCAGCAUAAAUCUUUUCUUCGGGUAGACAAAAAAGAAUAUAAAAAAUCGUUGGUGACUUCAAAAACUAGGAAUAACCCAAUCUUUU